rnacentral:rRNA from 1 species
AUGUCAGACGACGGUUUUCUUGAAUCUUUGUUCGGCAAGUUCUAUCACGACGAGUCCCUGCGUCCUCCGCCGGAAAGCGGCGAUGGGGAAGCCGAGGAUGAUUCCUGGGACUGGCAUGAAGCCCUCGUCGACAACGCCGCCUACAUGAUCUACGAGCGUAACCACACCACUGCCCAGUGUCCCGUCUCCAGGAAAGUAAGGGGCGGCGGUGUCAAGCAGGAUUUUCUGCAGGUCACUUUCUGCCUCUCCCAACCACCUCAUAUUUCAUACUUCUGCAUGUCCUACACAAGCAGGGACCCCAGCCAGUUCCGCUGCGAGCCUACCAUCUUCGCAACGGAGGGUAACCUCGCCGUCAUCGGCCUGAUACACAACUGGACCCUGCAGAACUCCCCAAGCUGCGUCUAUUUCGUUUACCGCGCCCCAAUCCUUGGCAGUCAGUUUCCUCAGCUCACACUGCUUCCGCACCCCCCCAGCGAGGUGUUUCCGGAGCAGUAUGAAUCUGAAUGCCAAUUGGGUCAUAACGAAAUUGGCAUCCUGCGCUACCGGUCCAAUAGCGCCAGCAAGCAUCUCCCUUUCACACCGCCCACCCCCACCCUCUCUCACAACCCUGCCCCCGCCCUUUCCCGCCGUCGCAAAUCCCACACCACCGGCGACGACUAUGAUGCCUACAAGAUCGCAACGCUUUGCUAUUAUGGUACUAAUCAGUACGUUCUCUACAUCUACGAUUCCGUCGCUGACGCUUGGAGCCGCACACCCACGGCCUUUCCACGGCCGCAGGACGCUCCCCCCGAGCAUCUCUGCAACAGGGUCAUCACCGUAGGAGGCGCCAUGGGCUGGGUCGACCUCUGGCAUGGCAUACUCCUUUGUGACGUGCAUGUCCCCUCUCCUGCUGAGGAGGAGGAAUCCCCCGGCCCUAGGCUGCUCCACUACGUACCGCUGCCGGAGCCAAUGCAGCCGGACAACGACCUCCGUCUUCAUGGCUUCUCCUCCUUCUUCCGGGACAUCGCCGUGGUGAAUGGUCGGAUCAAGUUCGUCGACCUUCAGCUCCAUGCCAGCCCGGGCUCGCGCACCCCGAAUGGUUGGACGGCCGUCACAUGGAGCAUGGCGCCUGGUGAUUCGGGUUUCAGCAAGGACGGAGAACUUAAUUCCUGUGAUUUGGUCAACCCCAUGGAGCCGUCCCUGUUUGUUGCUCACCCCACGCUCAGCUCCCAUCAUGAUGGUGUUCUCUACCUGAUGACCAAGGCCAGCAUGGAUGAUAGUGUGUCACAGGUGAUUGCUGUUAACAUGAAGAACAAGGAGAUAGAGCGAACCGCAAAAUACACCACACACAGAGAAGCUUGUAUGGACUUUGCGUACACGCGCGCAAUCAUCUCUAACUUUCUCGCUCCAGAUUCGAAGGGCACCACAAAGCGACCAGGGUCGGUGUUGCAGGGAUCCUUUCGGAAGAAGCUGCCUGUGAUCAAUCCCAGCACCCAUCUUCCUACGAUGGGUGAUGAAGGGGAUGCUAUGGACUUGGAAUGA